AGGCUUAACACAUGCAAGUCGAGGGGCCCCUUGAACUUAGCUUGCUAAGUUUGAUGGCGACCGGCGCACGGGUGAGUAACACGUAUCCAACCUGCCGAUGACUCGGGGAUAGCCUUUCGAAAGAAAGAUUAAUACCCGAUGGCAUAGUUCUUCCGCAUGGUAGAACUAUUAAAGGAUUUCGGUCAUCGAUGGGGAUGCGUUCCAUUAGGUUGUUGGCGGGGUAACGGCCCACCAAGCCUUCGAUGGAUAGGGGUUCUGAGAGGAAGGUCCCCCACAUUGGAACUGAGACACGGUCCAAACUCCUACGGGAGGCAGCAGUGAGGAAUAUUGGUCAAUGGACGAGAGUCUGAACCAGCCAAGUAGCGUGAAGGAUGACUGCCCUAUGGGUUGUAAACUUCUUUUAUACGGGAAUAAAGUGAGGCACGUGUGCCUUUUUGUAUGUACCGUAUGAAUAAGGAUCGGCUAACUCCGUGCCAGCAGCCGCGGUAAUACGGAGGAUCCGAGCGUUAUCCGGAUUUAUUGGGUUUAAAGGGAGCGUAGGCGGACGCUUAAGUCAGUUGUGAAAGUUUGCGGCUCAACCGUAAAAUUGCAGUUGAUACUGGGUGUCUUGAGUACAGUAGAGGCAGGCGGAAUUCGUGGUGUAGCGGUGAAAUGCUUAGAUAUCACGAAGAACUCCGAUUGCGUAGGCAGCCUGCUGGACUGUAACUGACGCUGAUGCUCGAAAGUGUGGGUAUCAAACAGGAUUAGAUACCCUGGUAGUCCACACAGUAAACGAUGAAUACUCGCUGUUUGCGAUAUACAGUAAGCGGCCAAGCGAAAGAGGUAAGUAUUCCACCUGGGGAGUACGCCGGCAACGGUGCAA
rnacentral:rRNA from 1 species